UACAAACAUCAUAGUACAACCAAUGAGAAAGCCCUAUAGGAGGCUAAAAGAAGCGAAAAAGUUUCUAGCAAAACUAGCCAAGAAGUCGGCACUGUAGUUAGCUUCUCUGUAAAAAUGGGAAAGCCUACAAACCCAAUCCUGUUGGAGGAGCUGUUUAAUGGCUAAGACAAGUUGAAAAACCCUUCCAUGAGAGGUGAUGCCACUAUUUACAAGCUGGACAACAAUUUCAUUAUCACAUUCAAUGAGCAGGUGGGAGACCCCAGUAGCUUUAGCCAUCUUCAGGCCUUCGUGAAGCGCCCAAAGCUCCGCUUCAGGCACGGAACAAGAACCAAUGUUAGAAACAAACCCUUUAACCCAUUUUCCUGAACCAAUGUUCACAAGUUGAAUCUCUCACUGUCUCUUAUCAUACUUCUCAAACGGCACAAAUCUUCUGAUUCUUUAAUAGUUUCAUCAAGCCAUUUAUUCUCCUUCUUCUGCCUUUAUUUUAUAUUUUUUUUCUUUGUUUUUUUCUAAUUGCUAUUGGCUUUAUCCCUCUUUUGACUGAGUAGAUGUAGAUCUAUGGAUCUAUUCUUAAUUUGUGCAGGUUUGUGUUUGCAUUACAUGGAUAUUUUGCCUAAUUAUCUUCAAUGAGGAUUGUUGUUCAUUUUCUUGGUUGUCAAACACCUGUAUGUCUUUGCACCUCAUUCUUCUCCAAAAACCCUCAACUAAAUGAUGAAAAUUCACGUUAAAACUCUUUGAAUCAAGCUUGAGAGUUAUAGAAGGGCUUGAAAUUAGUGGCAUUUCAGCGGGAUUCAAGCCAAAAGGGCGUGGUUAACUGAAAACCCGGUUCUUGCCUGUUGGUCCGGUUUCCGGGAGGUCUACCGUCACCCAGUACGUGGGAACACUGCUCAGGUUUAAUUGAAGGGUUCAAUCAUGGCUGUACAAACAAUAGAGAAAAAUAGAUAUUUUCUCUGUUUUAUGAAUUGUCAACUGAUGGCUUUAUAUAGCCAAAUACAAUGUAACUGAAACUAAGUUAAUGGCAAAAUAUCCUGAUACAGUUAAUAUACACAAUAAUCACGGAGUUAAAUAUAUGCAUAAUCAAGAGAAUUAAACCAAACGUGUUGACCAAAUCUGCUCCUUUAUGUAUUGAUAUCUUAACAUGCCCCCUCAAGCUGAAGUUGGAGGAGCUUGAAGACGAAGCUUGUCACGAUGGCGCAGAAAGAGGUGAGACCCCAAAAGGUUUAGUCAAUUAUGAUCAGCAAUCUGGU